rnacentral:rRNA from 1 species
AGUUUGAUUAUGGCUCAGAUUGAACGCUGGCGGGAUGCUUUACACAUGCAAGCUUCUGAACGGCAGCACGGACUUCGGUCUGUGGUGGCGAACGGGUGAGUAAUGUAUCGGAACGUGCCUAGUAUGGGGAUAACUACGAAAGGUAGCUAAUAAUGCACAUUACGUCUUCUUUGGGGAAAGUAGAUCCUCUGGCCUCGCACUAUUAGAGCGCCGAUAUCGAUUGAAGGAGCUGGUGGCACGUCACUCGGCGCGAUGAUCCGCAAUGGUUCUGAGGACGACCAGCCACACUGACCUUGAGACACGGCCCAGACUCCUACGGGAGGCAGCAGUGGAAUUUUGGACGUCGGGGAAACCCGGACUGCGCCAUCUCGGCGUGUGCGAUGAAGGCCUUCGGGUUGUAAAGCACUUUUGGCAGGAAAGAAACGGGCACGAGAACACCCGUGCAACUGACGGUACCUGCAGAAGGGUUAAUCGGCUAACUACGUGCCAGCAGCCGCGGUAACACGUAGGGCAAGCGUUAAUCGGAAUUACUGGGCGCGUAAAGCGUGCGCAGGCGGUCUGAAAGAAAGAUGAAAUCCCAGAGCUUAACUUUGAACUGCAUUUUUAACCAUCGAGCUGAUGUCAGAGUGGGAGGUGGAAUUCCGCGUGUAGCAGUGAAAUGCGUAGAUAUGCGGAGGAACACCGAUGGCGAAUGUUCUCCUGGGAUAACACUGACGCUCAUGCACGAAGGAGCAAACAGGAUUGACUGGUAGUCCACGCCCCAAACGAUGUCAACUAGCUACCUUCGGCCUUGCAGCGCAGCAACGUGAAGCGCUGACCGCCUUGGGAGUGGUUUUUAAUAAACUCAAAGGAAUUGACGGGGAUUCCGUACAAGCGGUGGAUGAUGUGGAUUAAUUCGAUGCAACGUGAAAACUUACCUACCCUUGAUGUCUGGAAUCCCGAAGAGAUUUGGGAGUGCUCGCAAGAGAACCGGAACACAGGUGCUUGCAUGGCUGUCGUGUCAGCUCGUGGUUUUAUAUGCGAAGGUUAAACCCGCACCGAAAGUAACCUUGUCAUUAGUUGCUGGUACGAAAGGGCACUUGACGAGACUGCCGGUGACAAACGGAGUGAAGGUGGGACGACGUCAAGUCCUCAUGGAACUUGGCGGUAGUCACACGUCAUACAAUGGUCGGGACGAGAGGGUCGCCAACCCGCGAGGGGGAGCCAAUCCCAGAAACCGAUCGAACUGGAUCGUGAGCCUGCAACUUCCGACUGCGUGAAGUCGGAAUCGCUAGUAAUCGCGGAUCAGCGUCGCGGCAGAAGGCGUUCCCGUGGGUCUUGUACACAAUCGCCCGUCACAUCAGCGGGAGUGGGUUUUGCCGAGAAGAAGAAUGUCCUGCAAGGAGGGCGAUUACCACGGUAGGAUUCAUGACUGGGUAAAGCUCAACAAGGUAA